rnacentral:rRNA from 1 species
GGCUGCACGCGCGCUACACUGACAGAGGCAACGAGUAUACAACCUUGACCGGAAGGUCUGGGCAAUCUUUUUAAACUCUGUCGUGCUGGGGAUAGAGCAUUGCAAUUAUUGCUC